rnacentral:tRNA from 1 species
UCGCGGAUCGUCUAAUGGUAGGACUCCAGUUUUUGGUACUGGCUAUCGGGGUUCGAAUCCCUGUCCGCGAACAA